rnacentral:rRNA from 1 species
GGUCUACGGGGCGCAGCAGUAGGGAAUCUUCCACAAUGGACGAAAGUCUGAUGGAGCAACGCCGCGUGAGUGAAGAAGGGUUUCGGCUCGUAAAGCUCUGUUGGUAGUGAAGAAAGAUAGAGGUAGUAACUGGCCUUUAUUUGACGGUAAUUACUUAGAAAGUCACGGCUAACUACGUGCCAGCAGCCGCGGUAAUAAGUAGGUGGCAAGCGUUGUCCGGAUUUAUUGGGCGUAAAGCGAGUGCAUGCGGAUCAAAA